rnacentral:rRNA from 1 species
UACGUAGGGGGCGAGCGUUGUCCGGAUUUACUGGGCGUAAAGGGAGCGUAGGCGGACUUUUAAGUGAGAUGUGAAAUACCCGGGCUCAACUUGGGUGCUGCAUUUCAAACUGGAAGUCUAGAGUGCAGGAGAGGAGAAUGGAAUUCCUAGUGUAGCGGUGAAAUGCGUAGAGAUUAGGAAGAACACCAGUGGCGAAGGCGAUUCUCUGGACUGUAACUGACGCUGAGGCUCGAAAGCGUGGGGAGCAAACAGGAUUAGAUACCCUGGUA